AGAGUUUGAUCAUGGCUCAGGACGAACGCUGGCGGCGUGCCUAACACAUGCAAGUCGAGCGAGGAGAUUCCCUUCGGGGAUGAACCUAGCGGCGGACGGGUGAGUAACACGUGGGCAACCUGCCUUGUAGAGGGGAAUAGCCUUCCGAAAGGAAGAUUAAUACCGCAUAACAUUGCAUCUUCGCAUGAAGAAGUAAUUAA
rnacentral:rRNA from 1 species